GCGACGCGCGGCGCCUCAUCAACAGCAACGUGGCUGGAGCGCGCCACCACUUCAUCUCGCUGUGCGACGACCCCGUCUUCCAGGAAGACUACCUGAGGUACGCCUCCUGCUACAAGACGGUGUCGCGCGACUGGGACAGCUGCGCCAACGACUUCAUGCAGCGCGUGGGCCACACGGCGCUGAGGCCCGCCUACUCCCGAGGCGUGGAGGUCUGCUG